UACGAAGGGGGCUAGCGUUGCUCGGAAUCACUGGGCGUAAAGCGCACGUAGGCGGCUUUCUAAGUCAGGGGUGAAAUCCUGGAGCUCAACUCCAGAACUGCCUUUGAUACUGGAGAGCUUGAGUCCGGAAGAGGUGAGUGGAACUCCGAGUGUAGAGGUGAAAUUCGUAGAUAUUUCGGAAGAACACCAGUGGCGAAGGCGGCUCACUGGUCCGGUACUGACGCUGAGGUG
rnacentral:rRNA from 1 species